UGGGGAAUAUUGCACAAUGGGGGAAACCCUGAUGCAGCGACGCCGCGUGAAGGAAGAAGUAUCUCGGUAUGUAAACUUCUAUCAGCAGGGAAGAAAAUUGACGGUACCUGACUAAGAAGCCCCGGCUAACUACGUGCCAGCAGCCGCGGUAAUACGUAGGGGGCAAGCGUUAUCCGGAUUUACUGGGUGUAAAGGGAGCGUAGACGGACUGGCAAGUCUGAUGUGAAAACCCGGGGCUCAACCCCGGGACUGCAUUGGAAACUGUUUUUCUUGAGUACCGGAGAGGUCAUCGGAAUUCCUUGUGUAGCGGUGAAAUGCGUAGAUAUUAGGAGGAACACCAGUGGCGAAGGCGGCUUACUGGACGGUAACUGACGUUGAGGCUCGAAAGCGUGGGGAGCAAACAGGAUUAGAUACCC
rnacentral:rRNA from 1 species